CACGUAGGGGGCAAGCGUUGUCCGGAUUUAUUGGGCGUAAAGAGCUCGUAGGCGGCUCAGUAAGUCAGGUGUGAAACCCCCGGGCUCAACCCGGGGACGCCACCUGAUACUGCUGUGGCUAGAGUCCGGUAGGGGAGCAUGGAAUUCCUGGUGUAGCGGUGAAAUGCGCAGAUAUCAGGAGGAACACCAGUGGCGAAGGCGGUGCUCUGGGCCGGAACUGACGCUGAGGAGCGAAAGCGUGGGGAGCAAACAGG
rnacentral:rRNA from 1 species